GUGUCAUUAAAUGAAUUAGCCGAACUAUAGAAGACGAUGCAUCUCACAUGAGCCCAUUAGACAUCUCUGGAAAAUCACACAAGAUCACUUCUUGGCCGCUGAACAAAUUCUGAGUCGCCAUGGGCCGCCUGGAUGAAGUAAUUCUAAAGAUGACGAGCCUCUUUGAGGAAUA